GGGGUAGGCUCCACAGAGGAGGUUGUUACAAGAUAUUGAAUAUAGUUCCCUAUGCUAAACACUGCUGAGCCUGAAAGAGUCUGUGGUCUAUGAGAUUCUACCACCCAAGACUGACCAGCUCCAUGCCUGGACCCUCUG